GAAUUUUGGACAAUGGGGGCAACCCUGAUCCAGCCAUCCCGCGUGUGCGAUGAAGGCCUUCGGGUUGUAAAGCACUUUUGGCAGGGAAGAAAAGGCUCUGGCUAAUACCUGGAGCUGCUGACGGUACCUGCAGAAUAAGCACCGGCUAACUACGUGCCAGCAGCCGCGGUAAUACGUAGGGUGCAAGCUGUAAUCGGAAUUUAUGGGCGGAAAGGGGGGGGAGGCGGUGUGGGAAGAAGGGUGUGAAAUCCCAGGGGUUAAACUUGGAAAUGCAUUCUUUACUGCCGGGCUAGAGUAUGUCAGAGGGGGGUAGAAUUCCGCGUGUAGCAGUGAAAUGCGUAGAGAUGCGGAGGAAUACCGAUGGCGAAGGCAGCCCCCUGGGAUAAUACUGACGCUCAUGCACGAAAGCGUGGGGAGCAAAC
rnacentral:rRNA from 1 species